UUAUGAAUAUUUAUUAAGAUGUGAAAUAAUGCACACAACAACACAAGAAGAAUCAAGCAAAUAAAAAUUGCUCUGAGAAACAAUUUAGAAUUUGUUUCCUUAGCCAUGUACUACCACCAGCUAGAUGGUAAUUCACCCUAUGGAUGGAAU